rnacentral:rRNA from 1 species
AGCAGCCGCGGUAAUUCCAGCUCCAAUAGCGUAUAUUAAAGUUGUUGCAGUUAAAAAGCUCGUAGUUGAAUUUCGGGAUCAAUAUGUUGGUCGUGCCUUGGUACGUACUGGCAUUAUCGAUUCCUACCUUCUGAAGAACUUCGAUGUCAUUAAUUUGGUGUCUUGGGAAAUCAGGACUGUUACUUUGAAAAAAUUAGAGUGUUUAAAGCAGGCUCGCGCUUGAAUACAUUAGCAUGGAAUAAUGAAAUAGGACGUUUGAUUCUAUUUUGUUGGUUUCUAGGAUCGACGUAAUGAUUAAUAGGGAUAGUUGGGGGCAUUAGUAUUCAAUUGUCAGAGGUGAAAUUCUUGGAUUUAUUGAAGACUAACUACUGCGAAAGCAUUUGCCAAGGAUGUUUUCAUUAAUCAAGAACGAAAGUUAGGGGAUCGAAGACGAUCAGAUACCGUCGUAGUCUUAACCAUAAACUAUGCCGACUAGGGAUCGGAUGAUGUUAAUUUUUAAUGA